rnacentral:ncRNA from 14 species
CCAACGGCCCUCUUUAGGGCCACAAAUCGCAAUAAUCCACAUUUUU